GACCUGUGACUCAGUGGCAGAGCAUCUGCCUGACAUGCAGAAGGUCCCUGGUUCAAUCUCCAGUAUCUCAAGUCA
rnacentral:tRNA from 1 species